CUUCGACAACGAAAUAGAAUAAUUGAUAGCAACACCCUUCAUGCAUAACUUCCAUACCAAGGUUAGCACGGUUAAUGAUAUCAGCCCAAGUAUUAAUUACACGGCCUUGACUAUCAACUGCGGAUUGGGUGAAAUUGAAACCAUUUAGGUUUAAAUGACUACUUGAAUCAGGGUUUUGAGCAUAAAGAUUCCACUGACCUGUAAAAAGUGGGCCUAACCUCGUCUCUGGGUGCCUAGGUAUCCACCGUAAGCCUUUCCUCGUUUGAACCUCGCCCUUCUAAGGCUAUGGGAGCUACGUCUGAGUUAAACUUAG
rnacentral:lncRNA from 1 species